rnacentral:rRNA from 1 species
AACGAACGCUGGCGGCAUGCCUAAUACAUGCAAGUCGAACGAGAUCUUCGGAUCUAGUGGCGCACGGGUGCGUAACGCGUGGGAAUCCGCCCUUGGGUUCGGAAUAACUUCUGGAAACGGAAGCUAAUACCGGAUGAUGACGUAAGUCCAAAGAUUUAUCGCCCAAGGAUGAGCCCGCGUAGGAUUAGCUAGUUGGUGGGGUAAAGGCCCACCAAGGCGACGAUCCUUAGCUGGUCUGAGAGGAUGAUCAGCCACACUGGGACUGAGACACGGCCCAGACUCCUACGGGAGGCAGCAGUAGGGAAUAUUGGACAAUGGGGGAAACCCUGAUCCAGCAAUGCCGCGUGAGUGAUGAAGGCCUUAGGGUUGUAAAGCUCUUUUACCCGGGAUGAUAAUGACAGUACCGGGAGAAUAAGCUCCGGCUAACUCCGUG